GACGAACGCUGGCGGCGUGCUUAACACAUGCAAGUCGAGCGGGUAAGGCCCUUUCGGGGGUACACGAGCGGCGAACGGGUGGGUAACACGUGGGUGACCUGCCCUCAGCUCUGGGAUAAGCCUGGGAAACUGGGGUCUAAUACCGGAUAUGACUCCAUGACGCAUGUUGUGGGGUGGAAAGCCUUGUGCGGCUGAGGAUGGGCCCGCGGCCUAUCAGCUUGUUGGUGGGGUGAUGGCCUACCAAGGCGACGACGGGUAGCCGGCCUCGAGAGGGCGACCGGGCCACACUGGGACUGAGACACGGCCCAGACUCCUACGGGAGGCGAGCAGUGGGGAAUCUUGCGCAAUGGGCGAAAGCCUGACGCAGCGACGCCGCGUGAGGGAUGACGG
rnacentral:rRNA from 1 species